CUGGGGACUAACCCGGGUGGUUAGGCGUCACCUGUUACCCGAAACCGCCGUUAUGCGGGGGGUGAUAGGUCGGGAGCGGCUUUGGCGAUCUUUCCGGAGCGUGCCCGCCCUGACUGCGAAGCCUUGUCCUGUGAGAUCAGUGGAAAAGUAUCAAAAUUCCGGAGGGGAUGGAGACUUUUAGCUGCGGAGACCGGUUCAGGCCCGGAAGGGAGCAGACUUACCGCAGACAUCUGGUGCCCACAGGGUUGCAGGGUGGAGGAAGGGUAUCACGCGAAAGAAAGGCACGCGAUUCCCACCCCGAUCACGUCCCUUU
rfam:Methanoplanus limicola DSM 2279 chromosome, whole genome shotgun sequence.